UAAUAAAGUGAUAUUAGUCAAAACCCCGUUUAUAAAAUAACGCUGGUCAGGGGAAGUAAUUGUUGCGGUCUAUGAUUUUGUUUGUUGUCUAUGAUUAUCGUUCGUGCAAAUGGUGGCGCUGUUUGGAAAAUUUGAAAACAACACGAUUUGCAAUUUAUUUGGAUUUCGAAGAUCCUGGUCCUGGCUGAAAUUUAGAGUAUUGCAGCUGUAGUCUGUAUACCAUACACUCAACAUGAAAAGGACUGUCAGGAUGCUGCAUAAAAUGGUCUUAGCUAGAGCCUAGAAUGUUAAUUUCUUGGGAAUAUGCUGCAAGGAACUGACAGGGAGCAGUUUUUCUUACCAAUUAUAGAAGCAGUAAUAGACAGCCAAAGAAGUACUCAAACACCUGACAUACCCAGAAAGAUCUAGAAGAAAAGAUUGGAACAGAUUGUAGCAUAAUUGUUAAAACUAUUAAAGUGAAUUUAAGCUGCACUUGAACUGUAUUUUUUAAAUAAAAUAUCUGAAGUAUUUAA